UCACUAGACGGCUCCUCCUAUUUAGGAAUAUUAAUUAUCGAUAUUCGCAUAAUAUGGGUGAUUAAUAUUCCCCCUUUACAUUGGCGAGCCAGGCCCACUGCGUGGAUUUUGCAUUUGUUUUUGGUCUUAAGGCUGAGGGUCGCUAGUACUGUGAAUUAGCGGGCAGGAGAGACGCAGUCAGCGGAGUGUCUGAGCGUCUAGGACCCAAUAAUUCGGACAGGAGAAGCGAUACUUCCCUUACAGUACCAGAAAUAAAACAAAAUCUUUUGCAGAGAAUCUAAUUGUUCUGUGAAUUAAUAUUUUGCUAUUUGCUUUGCACGGUCACUACAUCGCUCGAGUGAUUGCGAGGGAGAAGAGGAUACGUCACUGAAGGAGAGCCAUCUUCGUGGGAGCAGCGUACAAAGUCAGGCUGGUCGGGAAGAAGCGAUCCGGGAAAAUGGACUUCUUCCAAGCAGCUGCUAGGACAAAGAGGUACGGCCCCAAGGAGAAGAUGGACGCUCAUCAAACGGUUUGCGAUCUUGGAGUACCUCUAUGAAAAUAAGUGAAUAAUUCCAUAUCAGCACAGCUUCACAAGGGAUCAGUCAUGUCAAACUAAUUUGAUCAGUUUCUAUGACGAGGGUGGUGAGGGAUAAAUGCUGGGGCUCUGGGUCUGCCAACUGCGAAGAGUAAGAAAGACUGAUGAGAAAAAACAACUGAGGAGAACCUGAUGGAAAUGCUACAUUUCUUACAAUGAAACGCCAAACUACAGAUUAUCCCGAGCUCAGCUCAAGGAAGAAAACAAGAUUUUUUUUUUUAAGCUUUGCUCAGGUAAUUGCAUUGUCUCAUCCGUCACAUGGUGAUGAGAGGGAUAAGGAACUGAAGUUAAUUAAAAGAAAGCUCCUCAGAGACACUUUGUCUAACCGCCCAUCUUCUGUGCAGAUCCUAUAAGAGGGGAGCUGCUGUAAAGAUGCAUUUACACUGCGCCAACUAGCAGACAAUUAUCGGGAAGGAAGAGUUCUUCCCCGACAAUUGCCUGCUUGUUGGUGGAGGUGAAGCACUGCAAUCACCUCCAGUGUACGGGCGGACAUGAUAUGACUACUGCUAUCGUUUGUCCUCAUACAGAUUCAUUGUUUCUGGGCAGCAGAUCGCUGUUCACACACCAAGAUCUGAUACCCAGAAAUGAUGAUUGAGGUGUCCGCACCACAGAUCAUUUCACCCAAUGAAGGAGUUUUGUUAAUUCAUCGGGUGAAGUGCGGAGACUAUACAUGGACAGAUUAUCGCGAACAAACGUUUGUUCCUUAUAAUUGGCCCAACAAUUGGGCAGUAUAAAUGCACCUUAAAAGGCAUUGUCCAGCCAUUACAAUUUGAUGACCCAUCUUCAGGAUAGGUAAUCAAUAUCCGAUUGUGGAGUCCAACUCCCAGCACCAGCGCCAAUCAGCUGUUUGAAGAGGAAGUGGGGCUUGUACAGGCACCGCUUCCUCUUCAAGAUUACACUGCGCUUCUUUUCUCACUUGCAGAGGUGGCUCAGUGUAAUUACAAUUGCUCAUCCCAUUCAAAUGAACAAAAUAAAUACUUCUAAUUACACUGUGCUGCCGAGACUUCCGAGAUGCACACAGUGUAAUCUCGUCUUCAAACAGCUGAUCGGUGGGGGUGUCGGGAGUCGGACCACACCAAUCUGAAGUCAUCAAUGUGUACUGGCUGCACAAGCUUCCCAUGCCUGUUCCUGCUCUAAAUCUUUGUCCCAAAAUGUCUCUCCUUCAUGUCUCCUCCUCCUCCGUGCUGCCUCACAUUACUCACCUUUUCAUUUUCUUUAGCACCGCUUCCACUAUGCUGAACCCCCCCCCCCAGGUUUGAGCUUCUUCCCCACUCGUUUAGCACUAGCAUUAAAGAGUUUAUCCCAUGAAUAAUUUUCUAAUAAAAGUCCUGAGCGUGCUAGUAGAAAAUUUAAAGUAAUAUAUAUUAUCUAUAGCACAACAAAAAAAUAAAUCAUAAUUUUCUUUUUUUUUUAAAUGCUGCUGGGGCAGGCUCUGGACAAUAUAGUAGUUUGUUCUGGCUCUCCUUGCAGAAGGAGUCUUCCUAAGUAUACUGCCAUAAUGCCGCUGAAGCGGUAUACUGCUGAGGGAAGUGGGUGGCUGCAUAUAUCGUGACGCCACCACUGCAGUUUGUAAACAAGCAGGGGCAGGAGGUCCAGACCAGCAGGGCAGAGAACAGUGUCGGACAACACCUACUGCCUAGUUUGCUGGUAUCUAAAAAUAUAUUAUAUCUUGAGUGUUAUUAGCAGAAUUGUGAAUGCAGCUCUGGAGGUGACAGUUCAAUACACCAGUAAGAGUUCCAAGAUUUGCCCUCCAUUACAAUGACAAACAUUUAUAAUACACUUUUCUCACACGGAGGACUCAAAGUGAAGGGAUGGUUGCAUAGCUGUGGUGACUCCACCAUAUAGGUGCUCAUCCCCAAUGCACAACACACACUAGGGGAAGUGUGGACAGAAACUGGAGUACCCAGAGGAAAACCACGCAAUCACAGGGAAAACAUACAAACUCCAUACAGAUGUUGCCCUUGGUGAGGUUUAAACCAAGGACUCCAGCGCCCCUCUUACCAAACAUUCCCUUACAUACCCAUAAAACACAAAUAAAGAAAGCAGACCUGCAUGAUA